rnacentral:lncRNA from 1 species
AAAUCUUGAAAUUCUUUGACUGCAGUUCGAAGACUUUUGAUGCUCUGUAUCAUCAGAUUGUUCUGAGAUUCUUGUGUUUUUUGUAAUAUUAAGACAGCAUCCCAAUGCCUUUUAGCUUCAAGAAAGUGAAUGUCGUCCCUGUCUUUUAUGCUUUGAAGCAUUUCUUUGAUGAUCUCUUUGAGUGUUUUAGACAACUCGGAGCUUUGGGAGCUUGGAAGAUUGUUUGCAGCAUUGAUCA